rnacentral:pre_miRNA from 1 species
CAAGCCCCUGCCACACUUUUGGACUUCCUUCUCGUUCCCAGCAAAAUGCACAGUUUGCUGGCAAGACUAGGCAGUCCAGAUGUGUGGCAGCGGCA